rnacentral:lncRNA from 1 species
CUCCGGGCCGGCCGCCAGACAAAGGCAGCGGCGAGAACGUCCGUGAGCCCCGCGUCACCCCGGGCUGGCACCGAGGCCGUACCGUGCCUCGCAGGGGCUGCCGCACCUCCCGCCAGCCCCGUUCCCGAACAAAAGCGGCGAGCAGGUGGAGGGUGGGGUGAAAGGGCAGCCGGCGGCUGUGGCCGCCCCCGGGCAGGGACGCCCCGCCUUCGCCGUGCCAGGCGGCGGGGGGCCGGGGCUGGGAGUGCAGAGGGGGCUGGCUCUUGCCGGCUCUUCCCGUCUCGCCGCGGUGUUCGGGGAGGGGAGGCCGGGCCGUGCGGGGGGCAGGUCAGGGGGCAGCCGCAGCGGGAGCCGAGGCAGGAGGAGCUUUCCGCCGGCCCCUCCUGGCCCUGUGGGGGCUCCGGGCCGCGCUCUCACGCCCAGCCCCGGGAGCGGCGGCACCGCCCGGCCCGGCCCGGCCCGCAGGAACCGGCGGGAAACACAGGAUUUGCUACAGGAUAUUUCUUCAAUACCUAAAGAAAACUUUGGGUUCAGGACUGAGAACACCUGAGUCAUCAAUCCCAGCAGGAGAUUGGAGGAGAUCUAGAAAAAACGUCAGUGUAUCCCAAGUAUGCACAUUGAAAUGAAAAUAAAAUAGAUCACAUCACUAAUGAGAAGAGCAAAUACUGCUUAAAAAAAAAAAAAGUCUUCUCUGUUUAUAGCCCCCCAUUUUCAACUGCCAAACAUUAAUUCUUCAUUUUGAACAUUUGUUGCCCAUAGAAAUUCAAGAUUUACAUUACUGUUCUGGCUUUUAGAAUUGGUCUUAAAAAUUCAGUAUUGAAGCAUGAUGAAGAAAUCUGAGCACAUAUUUUAAAACUGGAAAAUCUAGAUAAGGAGCUGGAAGCCAUUGAAAACUGAAAUUCUGCUGCUGCAGAAUUACAUCAGUGAAAGAUGUGGACAUGUAGCUCUUGGGAAAGCAGUUGCCUAAAAGAGCUGAAAGCUUUUCACACUCCUGGUUAAGAGAGACCUCAGUAAAGAAGUUUCUAGCUAAUGCUUACUUAGAACCUGAUAGGCUGACACAGUUGUCAAGCAGAUCCUCAAUUUGUGACUGACAGUUCAGAAAUCAGACUUCCUUAUCUUGAAUGACCUUUUCGCCUUUUAUUCUUUAAUGUUAUCAAUGUUCCUAAGAGACCACAAAGUAAAGUUCUUCAUACAUAUGUUUGACCAGCCAAAGCAAUAAAGGAAAUAUUUUUUGUCAUAUUGGUCAAAUUUCUCUCCAUUUUUUUUUAUAUCCUCCCUCUCUGAAAACUGAAGCUUAUUCAGAACUCAGCUGGAGACUUGUACUUUUGCUCUUCUUAAAAUAUUGUGAUAAUUUUAUUACUUGAAUUUAUGCAGCUUCUGCCAGCUUUCAUAAGGUUUCAAAUAGUCAUAAAGAACAAAGGACUUAUUGAAUGGAUUCUAAAAUACUACUUUUUAUUUGUGUGAUAAGAGAACCAAUGAUAACUGUAUUUGCCUAACAAAAGCCUUGGUGACCAAAUCCUCAGCUUUUUCUCUUGACAGAUGUUUUCUGAGUACACAGAAGUUACCAGUAGAAGGUAGAAAUACAAGAUACAUCAGGGUGCCAUAAAUAUAUCAGAGGAAGUAACAGACCACUUUUUAACACUGAGGACAGAGAAUGAUGCAGCUGUUACCAACAAGGUAUGAAAGGGAUCACUUUGUGUAAAAAUGUGUGCCAAAGAUACGUGUAUCAAAGAUGCUUCACUGUGAUACACAGAAGUUACCCAAGAGCCUUCUCCUGCUGUGCAGAAGGAGCUAUCAGACUUACAUCCCCAGAUUGCGUGUAUGUGCCCUGUAAAACAAAAGCUUUCUGCAGGAAACCAGUCUCCUCCCAUAGUACUUCAUGUCAUCCUACUUUGGUUCUUGAAGCUUAAUUAACAAUUUCAAGUGAAAUUUUGUUUUACAGAAUUUAUUCAACCUUCAUUCUUUCUGUUGCAUGUAUUGCGUAUCUGUUCCCUACUUAGUCUCUGAGAUUAUGAAAACUAUGAAUAAAUUACUUUAUGGAGGAUUUUAUUUGGACAGGCACAGUAUGAUGUUAAGGCACAACCUGUUUCACCUUUGUGGCUGUACAAAACAUACCUUGUUCCUAAGGCGCAACACCUUGCAGUGAAUUGCACAGGAUACCUGCAGGAUGGUUCUAGAAUAGGCUGGUUUACUUUCAGUCCUGAGGCAUCCAUUGUGCUGGACAUUGCGGUGUUGGAGGGCUUUUUUCUUUCCCCAGAAUUCAAGAAAUUUGAGAGAUGUAGAGACUCCUGACUCAUAUUUACAGAGUAAAGAACUGAGGUGAGGUAAGCCUUUACAACCUCCCACUUUGAUACCAGCCCUUCCGAGAGCUAACCACCAAACAUCGACAGGCUGAUGAAGAGACAAAGCGCCUCUGCCUCAGCCAUACAAAAUCAAAGGCUAAUGCCCUGGAGCAUGCGUAGUUCUUUGACAAUUUAAGUUCAGAUGCC